CACAAACUAAACUGGACCGAAUUAAGCCAAAGCCACAGGAGACGGUUACUUAAUGGACAGAGAAUUAAGUGACUGCUGAGAUUGUCCCUGCCGCAAUAUAUGGAAUGGAUUGCUCGAUGGACGAGUAUUACCACAGUGGUCAAUGCCACAAAUGCCCACAAUGUCCACCUGGCCAAGAGCUGAAAGAGGACUGUGGUUAUGGUGUAGGUGUGUCAGCAAUGUGUGGCGUAUGUGACGUUCGGUGGUUUAAGGAAGACUGGGGCUCUCACCCUUGCGCACUGUGCCAGAACUGCCGCAGACUCAAUAGACACCAAAUCAAGCGCUGCACACACACAGACAAUGCAGUAUGCGGAAACUGCCU